rnacentral:rRNA from 1 species
GGGUCAGUAGGUUGGUCGUGCCACCGGUACGUACUGGUCUAAAUGAUUCCUCCUUCCUGAAGAACCGUAAUGCCAUUAAUUUGGUGUUGCGGGGAAACAGGACUGUUACUUUGAAAAAAUUAGAGUGUUUAAAGCAAGCUAACGCUUGAAUACAUUAGCAUGGAAUAAUGAAAUAGGACGAUCGAUCCUAUUUUGUUGGUUUCUAGGAUUGACGUA